rnacentral:tRNA from 1 species
UCCCUGCUGGCUCAGUGGCAAAGAAUCUACCUGCAAUGCAGGACUCCCAGGUUCAAUUCUUGGGUUGGGAG